UGAAAUCUGGCUCUCGGGCCCGAGUUGUAAUUUGUAGAGGAUGACUUUGAUGCGGUGCCUUCCGAGUUCCCUGGAACGGGACGCCAUAGAGGGUGAGAGCCCCGUCUGGUUGGAUGCCAAAUCUCUGUAAGUCUCCUUCGACGAGUCGAGUAGUUUGGGAAUGCUGCUCUAAAUGGGAGGUAUAUGUCUUCUAAAGCUAAAUACCGGCCAGAGACCGAUAGCGCACAAGUAGAGUGAUCGAAAGAUGAAAAGCACUUUGAAAAGAGAGUUAAAAAGUACGUGAAAUUGUUGAAAGGGAAGCGUUUAUGACCAGACUUGGGCUUGGUUAAUCAUCUGGGGUUCUCCCCAGUGCACUUUUCCAGUCCAGGCCAGCAUCAGUUUUCGCCGGGGGAUAAAGGCUUCGGGAAUGUGGCUCCCCUCGGGGAGUGUUAUAGCCCGUUGUGUAAUACCCUGGCGGGGACUGAGGUUCGCGCUUCUGCAAGGAU
rnacentral:rRNA from 3 species